GACGAACGCUGGCGGCGUGCUUAACACAUGCAAGUCGAACGGAAAGGCCUUUUCGGAGGUACUCGAGUGGCGAACGGGUGAGUAACACGUGGGUGAUCUGCCCUGCACUCUGGGAUAAGCCUGGGAAACUGGGUCUAAUACCGGAUAGGACCGCACUUUAGUGUGUGUGGUGGAAAGUUUUUUCGGUGUAGGAUGAGCCCGCGGCCUAUCAGCUUGUUGGUGGGGUAAUGGCCUACCAAGGCGGCGACGGGUAGCCGGACUGAGAGGUUGGUCGGCCACAUUGGGACUGAGAUACGGCCCAGACUCCUACGGGAGGCAGCAGUGGGGAAUAUUACACAAUGGGCGCAAGCCUGAUGCAGCGACGCCGCGUGGGGGAUGACGGCCUUCGGGUUGUAAACUCCUUUCGCCAGGGACGAAGCGUUUUGUGACGGUACCUGGAGAAGAAGCACCGGCUAACUACGUG
rnacentral:rRNA from 1 species